rnacentral:rRNA from 1 species
GACGAACGCUGGCGGCGUGCCUAAUACAUGCAAGUAGAACGCUGAAGAGAGGAGCUUACUCUUCUUGGAUGAGUUGCGAACGGGUGAGUAACGCGUAGGUAACCUGCCUUGUAGCGGGGGAUAACUAUUGGAAACGAUAGCUAAUACCGCAUAACAAUGGAUGACACAUGUCAUUUAUUUGAAAGGGGCAAUUGCUCCACUACAAGAUGGACCUGCGUUGUAUUAGCUAGUAGGUGAGGUAAUGGCUCACCUAGGCGACGAUACAUAGCCGACCUGAGAGGGUGAUCGGCCACACUGGGACUGAGACACGGCCCAGACUCCUACGGGAGGCAGCAGUAGGGAAGCUUCGGCAAGGGGGGCAACCCUGACCGAGCAACGCCGCGUGAGUGAAGAAGGGUUUCGGAUCGUAAAGCUCUGUUGUAAGUCAAGAACGGGUGUGAGAGUGGAAAGUUCACACUGUGACGGUAGCUUACCAGAAAGGGACGGCUAACUACGUG